GUGCUGGUGAGAACCUGCUGGCUGUUCAAACAGGUCGGCAUCACAGAGGAUUAGGGGCUGAUGGACACGACCCACAUACUGAGACGCUUCCCUGCAGGCAAAGCUGAGGCAAAGAAAAAGUCCAUGAUGGUGUCAUGAUGUGACGGAUCGUCAGGUGUCAGACUGGUGAUGACGGAGGAGAUUGGACCUGUGUAGUCAGGUGGUAAUUCUCUGCGGGAGCGUUACUAGGGGAGACAUCUUCCUCGUCUUUAUGGAAGAGACUUUAAGGAAGAAGACGUGACAGCACUGGACACACAGCUCGACUGAACUCUCAGCAUCCCGUCAUCGCCCCACAUCAGCCCCCUCCUCCCCAUCCUUCUCUCCUUGUUUUCACAGUGUUAACAAUCAGGCUGUGGCCCUGAGUGUUCCGGGGGCCUAAUUGGGCCGACUGCUGGCGUUGAUUGUGAUGGAUGGAGGGGGGCUGGAGCCAGGACCCGCUGUGGACGAUUCUUUCAUCUGCCUUCUCUGGCCUGUUGCACAAGAAGGGGAUGGAGAAGAUGCCUUCCUGGGUAUUAAUCAUCUGAAUAUGGACCUGUGAAUAAAGUUGUACCUCAGAAUAAAGGUGUACGUCACUGAAAAUCUAUCAUGUCAGUAACAAAUCAAACUCUCUCUAGGCCUGGAUAGUACUGUUGCUUCCAAGAGUUUGCGGUAGUCUCUUUUGUGGAUGGCGGCAAGUGUAUCCAGCUCAAUUCACACCAGUUAAAAUGGCUUUCAGUGGCAACUCCUCUAAACAAUUUUGCAGCCUUAUCCACUCGUAAUUUAUGUAUUCACUAAAACAAGUUUUUCACAUAAACAAAAGUCAAAUGAUGUGACAGCGCUUUGGUCAAAUUUAAGAUUUGGUUAUGGCAAAGAUCAUAUUUGGUUUAAAAGAAAUAAUUUGCUCAUGUUAUGGAAAGUGGUUUAGAUCAAACACAUGGUUAAGGUUACAGAAUGAUGGUGGCCGUUGUUUUCAUUAUUUUGAAAAGGGGAAACAAACAGAGGUUAUUCAUUUUAAAUUCCAACUAUCUAACCUGACCAAAUUCUUCGGUCACAGA